rnacentral:rRNA from 1 species
GACGAACGCUGGCGGCGUGCUUAACACAUGCAAGUCGAACGGAAAGGCCCUGCGUUUGUGGGGUGCUCGAGUGGCGAACGGGUGAGUAACACGUGAGUAACCUGCCCUUGACUUUGGGAUAACUUCAGGAAACUGGGGCUAAUACCGGAUAGGAGCUCCUGCUGCAUGGUGGGGGUUGGAAAGUUUCGGCGGUUGGGGAUGGACUCGCGGCUUAUCAGCUUGUUGGUGGGGUAGUGGCUUACCAAGGCUUUGACGGGUAGCCGGCCUGAGAGGGUGACCGGCCACAUUGGGACUGAGAGACGGCCCAGACGCCUACGGGAGGCAGCAGUGGGGAAUAUUGCACAAUGGGCGGAAGCCUGAUGCAGCGACGCCGGGUGCGGGAUGACGGCCUUCGGGUUGUAAACCGCUUUCGCCUGUGACGAAGCGUGAGUGACGGUAAUGGGUAAAGAAGCACCGGCUAACUACGUG